GAUGCACAGACCUUGCCCUGGCUGGCUGCACAGGGCUGAAUUUCACCCCGUCAGAGUGUAUUCUAAGGGCCCCCCGUGCAUCAUAUGGGCAUUCUUGAGUGUGCAGAUUGCAUCAGACCUGCACCUGAAUAAUUAAUAGUGACUGAAAUAUGCAGACACUAAAGUUCUGCAGCCAAAUUCUUGGAAACCUUCCUCUUCAAUG